CACGCCUCCUCUCUCCUCUCUCCUAUUCAGUAGGAAAAUUUUUUGCUCAGGGACUGUGAUUCAGAAUGGGGAGAGGGAAGAUAGCGAUAAGGAGGAUAGACAAUUCGACGAGCAGCAAGUGACGUUCUCGAAGAGAAGAAAUGGACUCUUGAAGAAAGCGAAGGAGCUUGCGAUCCUCUGUGACGCGGAAGUUGGAGUCGUAAUCUUUUCUAGCACCGGAAAGCUCUACGAUUUCUCUAG
rnacentral:misc_RNA from 1 species